CAAUGAAAAUGAAACUGGUCUUCCAAAUAAAUAACUGCAUCUGAUUUCGUUAACCAUUCCAAAGAAGAAAAAACUGUUUACAAAAAAGGAGGUCAAUAUCUCUUUAUACCAAAAAAAAAAGUAAACUUUCUCGUUACCAUUGUCCAAUUUAUUUCUCUCCGAGCACUACGUUCAUGCAUGUCAGAUUUUAUCGACUUGUAGAGUAAGUAGAUUCCUUACCGCUAAUUCAAUCUCGUUAAUUAAAAUGGGAUAGCUAAACCCUGAGGGAUACUCCUUUAACAAGCUGAUAGUUUUGUUUAUUAACCUAAAUUGUCAGUAGCCACUCUUUACAUAUGCGUUAACUUUUAGCAUCUACUCACCAGUAAUCAGUGAAUGCUGGUUGUUUAGAUUUCUCAACUAAGCGGUUUUCUAGAUCUUCUUUUAUUUUUUUAAUCAGACCUGGAAAAUCCAUAUAAUCAUUAAAUUUACUACUGCUCUAAGAUUAGUAGUUGAUAGAAUAUAGAUAAUUGACAGCUGCCUAAAUACUCCAUUUAGUAUCAUCUGUUUUUAUACUGUUACGCCUAAUGAUAUUGAACAAUACUUAUAAAAUUU